GUGUCAGCCGCCGCGGUAAUACGUAGGUGGCGAGCGUUAUCCGGAAUUACUGGGCGUAAAGCGCGUGCAGGCGGUUCGGCAAGUCGGACGUGAAAGCUCCUGGCUUAACUGGGAGAGGUCGUACGAAACUACCGGGCUUGAGGUUGGGAGAGGGACGUGGAAUUCCCGGUGUAGUGGUGGAAUGCGUAGAUAUCGGGAGGAACACCAGUGGCGAAGGCGGCGUCCUGGCCCACACCUGACGCUGAGACGCGAAAGCGUGGGUAGCGAACGGGAUUAGAUACCCGUGUAGUCC
rnacentral:rRNA from 1 species